rnacentral:tRNA from 1 species
GCGCCUGUAGCUCAGCGGAUAGAGCGACGGCCUCCGGAGCCGUAGGUCGCUGGUUCGAACCCAGUCAGGCGCG